rnacentral:lncRNA from 1 species
GCAUCUUGACCAUUUUCCAGAGUUAGAUAAGGAUAUAUAUGAUAGCAUCGUGGAGAAGAACGAAGAAAAGGUAAUUUCUUUACAGAUAGAGAUAUUUUAUUUUCACCUUCAAUAAUUGCCAGCAGUAAGAAUCCAUAGUAUAACAAGUCGCCCAUUGGAAAAUGCCCCCACUUUUUCACCACUUUUCCCCCACUGACCAACGUCUAGUCCGAGAUUACUACUCGUCCAACCUUCUAACACAUCGCCCCUCUCUUGCACACCAACUCGCCCCAUAAAGAGUGGAAAAUGCGAUUGCAAAUAGUUCUGACAACUCAUUAAACAAUGUUAAAUGGGUUACGUAAGGUUCAUCACCAACGGACAAAAGUGGCUGUAUUCACACUGUUUUACACCUCAAAAACUCUUCUGUGUACAGACUUAUCUGUGCAGUUUGAAAGGUUUUAUGGCCUUGCAUCCAUAAUUUAGAUAUUAAAAAGUUAAAUGCAUUUUUGUGUUUCAGAAAGAUAUAAAAAAAGUGAUAUGGCAUGACUGAGACUAUAUAUAGUAGUCUCAGGGCAUGGUAUGAGACCAAAUGGCGCUAAAUAAGAAAGUAUAGGUCACUGUCAGUGGCGGAUCCAGGAAAUUUCAUAAGUGGGGGCCCACUGACUGACCUAAGAGGGGGCCUGCUCCAGUCACGCUUCAGUGAUUCCCUAUAUAAGCAACCAAAUUUUCUCCAAAAAAGGGGGCCCCGGGCCCCCCCUAAAUCCGCCUCUGACUGUCAGGCCUUCAACAAUACACCUUAUCGCUUAUCCCGGCUGACCUGGCGGCUUGAACUUUUGACGCAUACAACAAUCACUUUUCCAUUGUGGCGUCAGAUAUUAUGUUUUAUGACGUCAAAAUAUUAUGGGAAUCUGUGUGAUAUCCAGUAAUGGCGUACAAAUAGCAUUAAGGUGUUUGAGGACCUGUGUUCAAGUUUGGUUGCUUCUGCAGGCUUCAAAUUGAUUUAUUUGUGCUAUUAACCAUGAUUUAUAGGUUCCUCGAUCCUGUAAGACCCUUUAAAAAAAAUUGAUGUUUCAUUCUCAAAAAUUUACUAUCAGUAAUACAUUGUACAAGCUAUAAAAAAGAAGAUUGAUUGAUUGCAAUGAGACAACUGUCCGCAAGAGUCCAAAAUGACACAGAUAUUAACUUCUAAAGGUCACCUAUUAAUCUGGAAAACUCUUAAGGCAUAUUACAUGUAUUACAUGCCAUACAUAUAUACAGUGGUCUCGUUAGCCCAAAAUAGAAGGGCGCCGCGCCCUGGGUGCCCUCAGCCGCGCCCUGUGUGCCCUCAGUCGCGCCCUUCUGCCCUGACGCCGUUUUCCAAAAAAAACCUUGUGCCGUUUUGGUAAAAUUGCCUUUGUUUCAUCGAUUUCUUAUCAGAAGUUGAAUUACAAAUAUGACACCUGGUGAUUGCCCCCAGGUAAUGAGGUUUAUCAUGUCAUUACAAUCAAUUAUUGUGGAUAAGACUUCAAUUAAAGGUGUUAAUUACUAGGUAAUUUAAUUAAGACAAUGUACCUUUUUGUCAUAAAUAUGAUGAAUGUGUCGGCAUUUUCUUUCGAUCUUCAAGUCACAAUGAAAGUGUGUGCGAAUGAAGACUUUCAUGAAUUUAGAAUUGAAUUGAAGUAAUCAAAAUAAAACUAUGCCUUCUGACACAGAAACAUCGUACAUCUCAACUUGUGAGCGACAAGCAGACGUAAACAUGGAAAUUAAUUUUGGAGUUAUUUCCCCUGAAAAUGCUUAUUACAAAAUUGUGCCCCUAAAAUAUUAUCUAGCACUAAAAUAGGAAAAAAUAACCAAUUGAAUACAAAAUUAUAUAAAAUGUUAUUAAGGAUAUUAACUGUCUUUGAACAUACAAAAAAAAAUAUAUUGCAAUUUAUUUUUGAUAAUCAUACUUUUGGCAAUCCAUGUUUUAUUUAUUCUCAAUAAAGAAAUAUGUACCAUGAAUUUGUUUGAAUGAUGUCCAACCUGUCAUGUUACUAAAAUGGAAGUGUGCAGUAAUACUCUCAUCACAAAUCAACUGGAUGAAGCUAUACUAAAUAAUAUAUUCUUAUACACGAACAAUAAAAACAGGUUUUGAGGGCCAAGCUCUAGAUGACAUUUUGAAAUACAACUACUCUGUCAUGUACAUGUAUGGUAAACUAUGAGAUGUUUAGUUUAUGUUCUUUCUUUUGGAAGCAGAGGGGGUGGGGAGAAUAGUAAGUUUAUUUUGCCUCUUUUGGUUAAUAGUAUGAAUGUGUAUUGCCAUGUAUUAUGAACAUGAUAUAGUUUGAAUGACUUUUCUUAUGCAAAUUUUAUAGAAUAAAUAAUCAAAACAACAACUUGUUAUUAACAAUAUAUACAGUAAAAAAUAUUACUCAUGCCGUAAAAAAAAAUGAUACAUAAAAAAUGCACCCUGCCCCUUUGAUACAUGUAUAUACAUGUAUGUUGUGUACAAGAUGUAAGUUUGUACAAAUUAUAAUUUGUACAGGGUUUUUGUACAAGUUAUAAGAUUUUUGACACCUACCUUCUUGCAACAGGUGAUACAGGUUUAACUUAUACAAUGUACCAGUGUAAUGUUUUAAAUUCAAAAAAAUAUACGUCAACCUAACAUUUAGUGCUAUUCUCCUUGCCUUCAAACUGGAAAUGAGGAUACCUGAAUGGUUUAAAUUCUAAUUUUAUUUUUUUCCUUAUACCAUAUUCAUAUCUAUACAAAAUCUUUGUGAGGUCUUAUAAUGUUUUUGUAUCAAUGCUCAGUAUUAGAGUGUAUCAUGAAGUUGUGAAAAAUUGACAGAAAUAUGCGGAGCAAAAGACUGUGCUUGCAUCAUCCAUUUUUGUUCAGCAGGUUAUAAAACACUGAUAACUUGUACAAAAAUUCUGUACAAAUUGUAAUUUGUACAACAUUACAACUUGUACACAACAUAUAUAUAAAUAAAAUUAAAUGUGUAUUUUUAUUUUUAGAAAAUUAAAAACUUAAACCCAGCAAUUUUAGCCCCCCUUUUUUUUACAGUGCUGCAACAUAUUAGGUUACUGUUAAUGCAUAGAAUAUUUUACAUGUUCUACUCUAACAUGUCCAAACAUUGCCUAGUUUCGUGGGCCUCAGGACCCUCUUUUUGGAAAAUCCUGGAUCUGCAUCUUGAAUAUAUACAUGUAUACUUUAAAUACAUGUAAGUUUUAAAUACAUGCAAGUUGACAUCUUGUGGUUAAACAUGAUAUCAUUUGAUGCUGAUAUGUUAUUGGAAGUAUGUAAUAUAUACUUUAAUAAAGAAUUUUUCUUAAAAAUAGUUGUUUAAAAUUCAAAAAUACAAUUAAGUUUCCUAGAAUCCGGGUCUGUUCAUGCCCAAUCACCUUUGUGCCCACUCAUGUUCGCCCUCUUUCGCAUUCGCACCCUACAUGUUGUCGCCCCUUUUUUUUUUGGUUUUGUGUUUUUAUUUGUUAUUGAGUUUUGGUAAACGUGGUAAAUGUAUUGCUAUAAACAUACCUUUUUUCAUAGUUUCCAAAUAAAGUGAGAUUCUGAUAAAAAAAAUUGUGUCAUGGUAUUUUAAAUUUAUUGCUUUAAACAUGAUAAACAUUUGUUUUUUUUUUACAUUUAUAAUUAACAUUUAAUAAUUAUGACAUCAAAUUAAUUUUAAAAAAUCUUUAUUAUAAUUCCUCACAUUUUAUUUAAGAAAAUAUGAUUAUUUGGUAUAAACAUAUAGCUGAAAUGAGAAUAAAAAUUGGGCGUGAACGUGUAGGGUGCGAACAGACUUCGGGGGCGAACAUGUGAGGUGCGAACGUGAAGGAUGCGAACAGACCUGAUACCAGUUUCCUUGCUGAACAAAAAUCAACCUACAUUUGUAAUCAAUGAACAUGAUUGGAAAAUAUUAUGCGACAGAUAAAUUCAUUAUAAAUGAUAAUUGAUUUUACUUAUUAAUAGGAAUAAUUAAAGGAAUUAUAGAAGGGAACACACAACUAUUAUUUUAAUAUUUCAUUUCUACUAGGAUUCACAAGAAAUGAAACAUUUGGCAAAUUGCACCAGGACUGGAAAGGCUAAAGGAGUAAAAUGAAGUACACAAGAAAUAAGAAUUUAGACAUGUGCUGCAGCUAGAAACAGAUAUGUAAGUAUUUAUAAAUAAAAAUUAUCAGUGUUCCCAACAUGCCCAAAGUUGGGAUUGGGGGUGAACAAUGGUGAAGGUUUACUGCUUAUCCUGCUACAUUUUUGUACCUUAAAUAAAUGUUAAGAAGAAAAAUUGCUUACUCUUUAUGUUAAUAACUGUAUAAUAAAUUUGCUGUUAAUAAAGAAUCUUGAUUUUGUAAUUUGCUUCUAAUUAGUCCCCUACCAAUGAAGUUGAUGUGGAAUUAAGUUUGCACUCCAUCUGUCUGUCAAUUCUCAGUCAGGCAAAUCAGUUUUCCACACUUUUUUCUUCCUUCUUGAAGAUAUUGAUUUAAUGUUAGUUAUAAAGUUGUAUCAUGACACAAGUUAUAGAUCAAGUUUGAAUGGUAUUUUGGUCUGAUGAUUAUGUCCAGAGUUAUGGUCCAAAAAAAAUUUGAUAUCUAUAACAUUAUUAGUUUGGGUGAAAAAUACCAUGAUUACCAAACAAUGUUGGGACAUUUUUUCUGACGUACAUUGUAUGUUUUUCUAUAUAGAAUGCUUUAUAAUAUUUGUGCAUUUUAGCUGGAUUUACUAUAUUGGAAAUACAAUUCAGUACCAAUUAAAAUGUACUUAUUUAUGCAUUACUACUAUAUGACAUGUACAACAAACUACAAUAUAUAUAUAUGUAUAGCAAUUGCAAAAUUUCUUCUGAACUAACUAAUUCAGUAAAGUGAAUGAGUUCCAGCUGGCAAAAACAUGUAGUACAUGUCAUGUAUGCACUGGAAGUUGGUAUCCCUGAGAUUAAUAAAAUAGUUUUUGUACAUGUACACAAAAUAUAUAUUUAUUGUUAAAGAAAUGAAACUUUUCUGCAGAAUAGUAUCCUCUUGGUCAAAGUACAUGUAUAUGUAUUUAUAAUAAACAUUAAUAAGUAAUGCAACAUAUUAGUAUGCAUGAUCACAUGAAUGAGAAAUCAUAUAUUUUUUUUCUUCAGGGGAACAUUUUGCAUAUAAAAUCCAGAGAAUGAAUCAAUGGCAAUUGGACAUAUCUUAUUUACUAGAAAGUGUUUCCUGGCAUGCCUGAGGAACAAGCCUGUGUGUUUAAGGUAUAAAGACUUAACAAUUAACAUAUAUAUCUAAAUGGAUAUACAUGCCCCUUGGAAACAAUCAUUAUAUGGAAAACUGCCUUACACAUGUUACAAGUGCACUAAUGUGUACAAUUCUUACCAGAUUUUUGUCGAGCCUGCAACUUUUGUCGCAGAAAGCUGGACAUAGUGAUAGUGAUACAGUGCCCUGGUGUUGGCAGCGGCAGCUAACUCUCAAAAGCUUCAUAUUUUAGAGGGUUGAAGACUUGGAUGCAUCAUACUUUGUAUAUAGAUGCCUCAUGUUAUGAAGUUUCCAUCAGUCACAUGUCCAAUGUCUUUGACCUCAUUUUCUUGUAUAUUCAGUGUAUGGAAGGACUGUAAGGUGUACAUGUCCAACUGGCAGGUGUCAUGUGACCUUGACCUAAUUUUUAUGGUUCAGCUGUAAUAGUUAAGUUUUUGUGUUUUGGUCUGUUUUUCUUAUACUGUAUGCAAUAGGUCUACUAUAAUUGGUGUAUGGAAUGAUGAUAAGGUGUACAUGUCUAGCUGGUAGGUGUCAUCUGACCUUGACCUCAUUUUUAUGGUUCAGUGGUCAAAGGUAAAUUUUUAAGUUUUGGUCUUUUUAAAAACUAUAUGGUCAACUUUUUUAUAGCUUUUUGUUCGGUGUGAGCCAAGGCUCCGUGUUGAUGGCUGUACAUUGACCUAUAAUGGUUUACUUUUAUAAAUUGUUAUUUGGAUGGAGAGUUGUCUCAUUGGCACUCACGCCACAUACUCCUAUAUCUAAUAAUUAUUUGGUGUAUGGAAAUAUUGUAUGAACUAUAUGUUAGUCACACAGGUUUUAUUUGACCUUGACCUCAAUUGGUAAAUGUUAAGUUUAUGUCAUUGUGACAGUUAUAUUUAGGACCAUCAACAUAAUAUCAAUGAUUAGUAAAGAAGUAGAGACAUUUCAGUGUGUGCACUCUUGUUAUGAAAUUUAUGUUAAGUUUUUAUGUCAUCAAUAUUUUAGACAAGUUUGAAAAUCAUUGCAGAACAAAUAUUUUUUAAAAGAAUUGUUUCCUUGAAUGUCCCAAAUAUAAAAAAAGAAGAUGUGGUAUGAUUGCCAAUGAGACAACUCUCCACAAGAGACCAAAUGACAAAGAAAUUAACAACUAUCAUCUGACAUGAUCAUGACUAUAGUUAAUCGUACAACCUUCAACAAUGAGCAAAGCCCAUACCAUACAGUCAGCUAUAAAAGGCCGUGAAAUGACAAAUGUAAAACAUUUCAAACAAGAAAACAAACCACCUAAUUAAGUACAAAAAAUUAACGAAAAAAAAUAAUAUGUAACACAUCAACAAACAUUAACAACUGAAUAACAGGCUCCUGACAGGCACAUUUGUACAGAAUGUGUGGGGGUGGGGUUCAACAUGUAAGCGAGAUCCAAACCCUCCCUCUAACUUGGGACAGUGGUGUGAAAGUACAACAUAAGAAUAAACUAUAAAAAUCAGUUGAAAAAGGCUUAACUCAUCAAAUGAUACAAAUAGAAAUACAACACAGAGUAGACAUGGCUGGGUACUUGUUUAUUUAUCCCAACAACAAAAAGACAGCUAAGUGCAGAUCUGAGAGUACUCACAGCUACUGGCAGCUAGUUUAAAGCCACUAUCAUCUAAUAAAAAAAUCUCGAUCUUGGACUAAAUUAUCAAUCAGUACACAUCCAACAUCCAAUGGAUUUAGUGUAAAGAAGUCAUUUAAACAGUCAGAGGAAAACAUGACUGUAUAAUGCCAAGAUACAGGUUUAGACAGAUUAUAGAUCUUUGAAUCUGUAUAUGUAUAUAACAGUAAUAUUUAGUUUGCUUUUAAUUUUCUGAUAACAAAAUCAAUAUUAAUACCAGGAAAAACAAUAUUCAAUGAUCAAAAUUGGUUUCCAAUCUCUAACUUUAGUUUUUUGAAUAACUUGACCAAAUGUUAUAAAAACAUAUACAAAAUGCUUAAUAGCACAAAACGUGUGUCAAGAUUGAAUUUUGGUGGCGUCAUUUUAAUCGUUUUAGAGUUAUGCUCCUUUACAAAUGGAAAACUGCUGAAUUUUCAGUUUUCUGUUUUCUAACUUAAGUUAGCCUCAACCAAAAGUAAUGAAACUUAUACACAAUUCUUAUUACCGCAAAAAAAAGAGCAAGAUUGAAUUUGGGUGGUGUCACUUUUAAUAAAAAAUGUUUUCUGAUUUUUUUUUAACAUAAAUUAGACUGUUGUUUUACCCUUUUGAAUGGUUUUACACUAGUCAUUUUUGGGGCCCUUUAUAGCCUACUGUUCUGUGGGAGCUAAGGCUCUAUGUUGAAACCCAUACUUUGACCAAUAAUGUUUUUUUCUUUUUCAAAUUGUGACUUGGAGUGAGAGUUGUCUCAUUUGCACUCAUACCACAUCUUCUUGUAAUAUAUCUUUUAUCCUUCCCUUUAAAAAAAAUGGAAAAAAUUGCUGAGUUUUUCCUUUUAGUUCACUACCUUGAGUUUGCCUUCGCAAAAUGGUAUGAAACUUAUACACCAUACUUUUUACCACAAAACUCUGAUCAAAUACAAAUUUGGGGAGCAUCACAUUUACAUGUUCUUCAGUUAUGUCCCUUUAUAACUUUAUAUGAUAUUUGUGUCACAUGAACACAUUCACCAUUCAUUGAAUUAUUGCCUUUGUGUUUAAUAGAUAAGAUAUGUGCAACAUGGGGGACAUUUGAACUCAUUUUAUUGAGUUAUUGCCCUUGUAUUUAAUAGAUAAGAUAUGUGCAACAUGGGGGACAUUUGAACUCAUUUUAUUGAGUUAUUGCCCUUGUAUUUAAUAGAUAAGAUAUGUGCAACAUGGGGGACAUUUGAACUCAUUUUAUUGAGUUAUUGCCCUUGUAUUUAAUAGAUAAGAUAUGUGCAAUUCUGUUCUUUUAUUGAUUUUCAAUUUUGCUUUAGUUCAGUAUAUGCAAGAUACUACAGUGUAAUACUAUAUGUUGGAAUUCAUAUCAAGAACAGAUAAUACACCUAUGAGUAGAUACUGUUGUGAAUUUUUAGCUCACCUGGCCCGAAGGGCCAAGUGAGCUUUUCCCAUCACUUGGCGUCCGUCGUCGUUGUCCUUCGUCGUUGUCCAUCGUCGUCGUCCAUCGUCGUUAGCUUUUACAAAAAUCUUCUCCUCUGAAACUACUGGGCCAAAUUAAACCAAACUUGGCCACAAUCAUUAUUGGGGUAUCUAGUUUAAAAAUGUGUGGCAUGACCCGGUCAACCAACCAAGAUGGCCGCCACGGCUAAAAAUAGAAACAUAGGGGGAAAAUGUAGUUUUUGGCUUAUAACUCAAAAAACCAAAGCAUUUAGAGCAAAUCUGACAUGGGGUAUAAUUGUUUAUCAGGUCAAGAUCUAUCUGCCCUGAAAUUUUCAGACGAAUCAGACAACCCUUUGUUGGGUUGCUGCCCCUGAAUUUGUAAUUUUAAGGAAAUUUUGCUGUUUUUGGUUAUUAUCUUGAAUAUUUUUAUAGAUAGAGAUAAACUGUAAACCAGCAAUAAUGUUCAGCGAAGUAAGAUUUACAAAUAAGUCAACAUGACCGAAAUGGUCAGUUGACCCCUUUACGAGUUAUUGCCCUUUAUAGUCAAUUUAUAACCAUUUUUCGUAAAAUCUUAGUUAUCUUUUACAAAAGUCUUCUCCUCUGAAACUACUGGUCCAAAUUAAUCCAAACUUGGCAACAAUCAUCUUUGGGGUAUCUAGUUUAUAAAAUGUGUCCGGUGACCUGGCCAUCAAAUCAAGAUGGCCACCACAGCUAAAAAUAGAACAUAGGGGUAAAAUGCAGUUUUUGACUUAUAACUCAAAAACCAAAGCAUUAAGAGCAAAUCUGACAUGGGGGUAUAAUUGUUUAUCAGAUCAAGAUCUAUCUGCCCUGUAAUUUUCAGAUGAAUCUGACAACCCUUUGUUGGGUUGCUGCCCCUGAAUCGGUAAUUUUAAGGAAAUUUUGCUGUUUUUGGUUGUUAUCUUGAAUAUUAUUAUAGAUAAAGAUAAACUGUACCCAGCAAUCAUGUUCAGCAAAGUAAGAUUUACAAAUAAGUCAACAUGACCGAAAUGGUCAAUUGACCCCCUAAGGAGUUAUUGUCCUUUAUAGUCAAUUUUUAUAAAAAUUUUUAUAAAAUUUGUAAAUUUUUAUUAACAUUUCCACUGAAACUACUGGGCCAAGUUCAUUAUAGAUAGAAAUAAUUGUAAGCAGCAAGACUGUUUAGUAAAGUAAGAUUUACAAACACAUCACUAUCACCAAAACACAACUUUGUCAUGAAUCCAUCUGCUUCCUUUGUUUAAUAUUCACAUAGACCAAGGUGAGCGACACAGGCUCUUUAGAGCCUCUAGUUUUUAAAGCUGAAAUUAUCAAUAAACAAACUCAUAAAUGCCAUGUAAAUUAAUAUUUUAUUUCAAUCUAUAUUUACAGAUAAGAAAACAACUUCAGCAUGCAAGAAAGAAGAUACAUAGUUUGGAAUCAAAUAUUUGACAUUAAUUCAAUUCAUUUUUGUUGCUUAUACAAUUCUAUUUAUUUGAAAAUUAAAGUUGACUAAAACAUAACUGAAAUAUUUGUCAUCUGUGAAUAUUUGUGAGGGGAGAGAAACAUUUAUUUUGGAAGGUAUAUGGCUUUGAAAACAGAUAUUACAACUAAAGUCAUGGAAGUGUUCAUAUCGAUAAAGAUCAAUACUAGUUUAAAUGCAUGAACCACUGUAUCAGGUUGGGGUGAAGGUUGGUGCCAGAUAAAACGUUUAAACCCAGUGCAUUUGUUUGCACCUUCCCUAUGUCAAGAACCUGAUGUUCAGUGGGCUUAUUAUGUGUUUAAUAAUUGUUUCUCAAUUUUUAUAUACAUGUAUCUUAGACCAUUGGUUUUCCUGUCUGAAAGAGGUUAGACUGGAAAUUUUUGAGGCCCUUUAUUGCCUGCUGACUGUUUGGUGUGAGGUUAGGCUCUGUUGAAGGCUGUACUUUGAC